GGGGGUCGAAUCAGAGCCGCAGCCACCAGUCUACGCCAGAGCCACAGCAACGUGGGAUCCGAGCUGCGUCUGCAACCUACACCACAGCUCACGGCAACGCUGGUUCCUUAACCCACUGAGCAAGGGCAGGGACCGAACCCGCAACCUCAUGGUUCCUAGUCAGAUUCGUUAACCACUGCGCCAUGACGGGAACUCCAAAAAUGAUUUAUCUUGAAUAGAGGUCCCCUAAUUUUCCCAACAUUCGAAACUGAUUGCUCUCCGAUGCUCUCUUACAUAGAAAUCCUGGCCCUGCCAUGGAGCAUGUACAUACAGAAGAAAAUAGACAAAAAAGAAAGGGUCAUGGGAACUGUUGCCUCCACACCCACCCUUCCAUUCUCACGGAGCCACUCUAGCAUGAACAGAAUUAUCUCCCUGUAGAACUUCAGUAAUUUCCCCUUCUCUAGUUUCUUCCUGCUCCAAUUUAACUGGCCUAUUAAUGUUCUUAAUCCUCUGCUUUCACCAUGAUGUCCUUACUACUCAAAAAUCUGUAUAGGAGUUCGCAUUGUGCCUCUGCAGUAAUGAACCCCACUAGGAACCAUGAGGACGCAGGCUCAAUCCCUGGCCUCACUCAAUGGGUUAAGGAUCCAUAUUUUACAUUCUUUUUUCUUUUUCUUUUUUCUUUUUUUUUUUUUUUUGCUUUUUAGGGCCUCACUCGCAGCAUAUGCCAGUUCCCAGGCUAGGGGUCUAAUCGGAGCUACAGCUGCCAGCCUACACCACAGUCACAGCCAGACAGGAGUCAAGCCGCAUCUGCAACCCACACCACAGCUCACGGCAAUGCCAGAACCUUAACCCACUGAGCAAGGCCAGGGAUUGAACCUGCAACCUCACAAUUCCUUGUCGGAUUCAUUUCCACUGCGCCACAAGGGGAACUCCAUAUUGUACAUUCUUUCUCUCACACACCAAAUAUGAUUGUUUUUAUCAUCAAUAUAUUUCCCAGAUCUGACCACUCUCACUACCUACAUGAAUCUGACCUAAUGGAAUCAGCCCCUACUUAUAUGUGUGUUCUCUCCUCCUCAUCCUGCCCUUGGCUAGCUUUGUCAUCAUCUCUAAGGUUGAAACUCUGUCCAACCACGCGCAGGAUCCAGGUGAGGAAGAAAAAAGAUGGCAUGGAGGAAAAACAGACAUCAAUUGUCUUAAGGCCCCUGGCUUUUCUGCCCACCUUCUAUUGGCAUCUCUAAAUUGCACACUCAGCUGGGAGAUGCAGUGAAGCUGGGCAGCCAUGUCCUGGUUAGAACUUUAUUAAGAAAAAAGGGCAAACAGAUUCCGAAGAAUAGCUAGCAGCCUCUGUCACAGCAGUGGAAGAGAAAGGAGGCAUUUUAGGCAGAAGGGACAGUAUGAUCAAAGGUAAGGAAGUGAGGAACAACCUGUGAUGUGUUAAGAACCAAUAGUGAUUUUGAUGUUGUUAGAAUGUAAAGAAUGAGAUGGAGACAGGAAGAGGUGAAGCUAGAGAGAUGGGUGGGGUGGAUAAAGUUGGAUUUUAUUCUUUAGGAGGAGUUGAAGCCUUUUAUGUAGCAGAUUUUCAUUUCAGUUAUAUACUUAAAGGAGAAAGAUGAAUUUGGAGAACAGAAGACUAGAGGGAAAAAACAAGUUGGGGCAACAGUGUUGGUGAGAUGACCAAGUUUUAAUAGCAGUCUGUGAUGAUAGGUGUAGAGGCCUGAAUUUAGAAACAGCCGGGAUAGAAGUAGAAGUAAAAUAGGCAGGACUUGGUGAUAAACUGAAGAGAGAGAAAGAAGGAGGCAUCAAGUUAGGAUCUCAGAUUCCUCACAUAAAUGUGUGGGUGGAUGGUGGUACCAGCAUGCAAUGUCACAGAGUAGGAACAGAUUUAUUGAGGAAAAUGACAAGCUCAGUUUUAGGUCAUAAAGAUAAAAUACUGUGAAGUUUGAUACUCCUACAACAUAUUUUUGGUUUUAUUAAAUUCGUAUGCCAGUAAGAGUGUGUUGCUCAAGUUCAAACUCCUUAGUAUGGCAUAUAAAGCCCUAAAUAAUUUGAACCUAAUCUGCUUCUCCCAUAUCACCUUCUAUUCUCUUUACUAUACAUAUAUACGUUUUGUCUCCACUACAUUAAAUUUUUCUCAAAGAGAUAGUCAGUCCCUGACUCUGAAACACUAAGACAGGUUCUCUUAAAUCAUACUAUCUGUGCUUUCUGAGGUAAAUUGGGAAGGGCUUAAUGCCCAAAUGGAUGGGGCUGGAGAAAUGGGUUGCAAGGGAAAUGAUGAUGAGACACAGGUGUGUAUAAUCUGGGAGCCUAAGUGGAUGAAAGGCUGAGUAAUCAGGUGGAAAAGAACAUUUUAGAUAGAUGAUAAAGAAAAAUAUUUACGUAUUGUGAGGCUGUGGUCUAUUUGGUCAAAGAGCAAAACGCUGGGGUAGAAUACCUAAGACAAAGCUGUAGCUUCUCCGCUGGCAUAACCUUAUUCAGGGAUUCUGCAAAUUGAAGCUCUGCCCCUACUUCCUUACAACAAUGGAAAUAUUUGUAGGGACUGGGGCGAGAGUGUGCUUGUGACUGCAACUUGGGUUCCAAAUUUCUAUCCUGAGCUACUGUUAACACUGUUUAUGCACAACCACAGAUUCGCUGAUUGACCUUGGGCAAAUUGCUACUUUCUAUGACUCAAGUGUCCUAUCUGUAAAAUCAGGAUAACAUGUAUUUUAGAGUGAGGAUCAACUGAGAUAAUACAAGUGAAAGCUUACAUACGUGGUUCAACAAAUGUUGAGGGGUGACAGAUGAACGACAAAUCAAUAAACGACAAAUCUCAAAGGAACUGGGGCAGCAAUUUUAGAAAGUCGUACAAGGGACAGACCUGGGAUUCCCUCUACUCCCAGGAGACCCCGGAGAGCCGGCGCGAAGACAUAACUAGCAUUUCUUGGCCCCUAUUUCCUCCUAACGGCUUGGCUGCAUCGUACCUCCUGAUUCUUCUGGUCCCAGGCUGCAGCUGUAGCUCGCUCCGCCUCGGGGCGCCCGCCUGCAGGGCCUCUGCGGGCUCAGCCAAGAGAGACGCUGAACCCUGAGCGCUGUGUCCG
rnacentral:lncRNA from 1 species